UCCUACUUCUUCACCCUCGCCUUAGGAAAACCAGCUCCUCUCUUUUGUAUUGUCUGUGCUGAAAGUUCAACUGAACCCCACCAUAACUCCAAAUUUUCCUUUCCGGUUGAUUUUGCUCCCUGGUACGCCAUCUCCCCUUUCCUCUGCUAUCCUAUGCUUAGAGUGACUCCUUGGGCCCGGGCCCCACCUGCCCUCAGGGACCCAUUUCUGCUCUGCACGGGGCCUGCCCAGCUGGACGCUUUAUACGUAAGUGCUUCUCAUUUCUUAUUCCCUGUCCUCAAAUCUUAGGAGUCAAAGAGCAUUGCAAGACUCGGAUUCCUUUCCUUCCUCUCAUGCGUAUGAGUCUCUGGGCCUGUGCCUUACUUGCUCAGUUAUGUCCGACUCUUUGUGAACCCAUAAACUGUAACCAUCCAGGCUCCUCUGUCCACGAAUUCUCCAGGCAAGACUCCUGGAGUCUCUAGCCAUUUCUUUAUUUGGAAUUAUCUUAUGAAAACAAUCUAGGCAUUAUUUUGAAUCAAGCUCAAAGGAAGCCCAGCUACCUGAAGGUACAGACACUCAGAUGGACAGACUCUGUCGUCGAUGGAGUAGCCGCCGUGGAGGUGGAGUAGCCGCCGUGGAGGUUAAGCGGCCCGUGUGAGGGUGAUGCUCUCUGCACACUCCGAUUAAGGAUUUGAAGAUCUGGUGGACCAUGCGUGUUAGGAGGGGUAAGAGUGGGGUAAGGAGGGUCUGGAAGGAAUCAUCCCUUGUGCUCUCCGAGUUGUGCUGAAAUCCAGAGAGAAAGCAAAGAAUCCUUCCAUCCCAAAACCA